rnacentral:rRNA from 1 species
UUCCGGUUGAUCCCGCCGGACCCGACUGCUAUCAGAGUGGGACUAAGCCAUGCGAGUCAACAUAGCAAUAUGUGGCAUACGGCUCAGUAACACGUAGUCAACAUGCCCAGGGGACGUGGAUAACCUCGGGAAACUGAGGAUAAACCGCGAUAGGUCAUCACUUCUGGAAUGGGUAAUGACUUAAAUCUAUAUGGCCCCUGGAUUGGACUGCGGCCGAUCAGGCUGUUGGUGAGGUAAUGGCCCACCAAACCUGUAACCGGUACGGGCUCUGAGAGGAGGAGCCCGGAGAUGGGCACUGAGACAAGGGCCCAGGCCCUAUGGGGCGCAGCAGGCGCGAAACCUCUGCAAUAGGCGAAAGCUUGACAGGGUUACUCUGAGUGAUUUCCGUUAAGGAGAUCUUUUGGCACCUCUAAAAAUGGUGCAGAAUAAGGGGUGGGCAAGUCUGGUGUCAGCCGCCGCGGUAAUACCAGCACCCCGAGUGGUCGGGACGUUUAUUGGGCCUAAAGCAUCCGUAGCCGGUUCUACAAGUCUUCCGUUAAAUCCACCUGCUUAACAGAUGGGCUGCGGAAGAUACUAUAGAGCUAGGAGGCGGGAGAGGCAAGCGGUACUCGAUGGGUAGGGGUAAAAUCCGUUGAUCCAUUGAAGACCACCAGUGGCGAAGGCGGCUUGCCAGAACGCGCUCGACGGUGAGGGAUGAAGCUGGGGGAGCAAACCGGAUUAGAUACCCGGGUAGUCCCAG